rnacentral:rRNA from 1 species
UUUUUAUAUCAAUAAGCGGAGGAAAAGAAACCAACAGGGAUUGCCCUAGUAACGGCGAGUGAAGCGGCAACAGCUCAAAUUUGAAAUCUGGCUCUUUCAGAGUCCGAGUUGUAAUUUGCAGAGGGCGCUUUGGCUUUGGCAGCGGUCCAAGUUCCUUGGAACAGGACGUCACAGAGGGUGAGAAUCCCGUACGUGGUCGCUAGCUAUUGCCGUGUAAAGCCCCUUCGACGAGUCGAGUUGUUUGGGAAUGCAGCUCUAAAUGGGAGGUAAAUUUCUUCUAAAGCUAAAUAUUGGCCAGAGACCGAUAGCGCACAAGUAGAGUGAUCGAAAGAUGAAAAGCACUUUGGAAAGAGAGUCAAACAGCACGUGAAAUUGUUGAAAGGGAAGCGCUUGCAGCCAGACUUGCUUGCAGUUGCUCAUCCGGGCUUUUGCCCGGUGCACUCUUCUGUAGGCAGGCCAGCAUCAGUUUGGGCGGUGGGAUAAAGGUCUCUGUCACGUACCUCUCUUCGGGGAGGCCUUAUAGGGGAGACGACAUACCACCAGCCUAGACUGAGGUCCGCGCAUCUGCUAGGAUGCUGGCGUAAUGGCUGUAAGCGGCCCGUCUUGAA